rfam:Canis lupus familiaris chromosome 30, whole genome shotgun sequence.
AGUGCUUGCUUCGGCAGCACUUUAUUCUAAAAUUGGAAUCAUACAGAGAAGAUAAGCAUUGCCCCUGUGCAAGGACGACACACAAAAUCUUAAAAAAAAAAAAAAAAAA